rnacentral:rRNA from 1 species
UAGCGGCGAGCGAAACGGGAAGAGCCCAAACCAACAAGCUUGCUUGUUGGGGUUGUAGGACACUCUAUACGGAGUUACAAAGGACGACAUUAGACGAAUCAUCUGGAAAGAUGAAUCAAAGAAGGUAAUAAUCCUGUAGUCGAAAAUGUUGUCUCUCUUGAGUGGAUCCUGAGUACGACGGAGCACGUGAAAUUCCGUCGGAAUCUGGGAGGACCAUCUCCUAAGGCUAAAUACUCUCUAGUGACCGAUAGUGAACCAGUACCGUGAGGGAAAGGUGAAAAGCACCCCGGAAGG